rnacentral:lncRNA from 1 species
AGAGCGCGUCGCGUGACAGCAGCGUGAAGGCAGUCAUUACUAACAACUAUGUACGAGGGGCAAGGGGAACAUAUCGCUGCAGUAAUCAAGUAAAUUAGGACGGAUGCAAAUUGGAGCCCCGAUAUACCUGCUCGAAACACGUCUCAGCGGAAAGUUCUCAGUCGGAGGCUCCGUCAAGCCGGUGGGCCGCUCGAGGAAGUUGUAGACCUGACCCUGAAACGUGGCUUUCCCGGCUCUCCGAUGUUCCUUGAUCUGGUAUCGUCCUUCCCAC